UACGUAGGGUGCGAGCGUUGUCCGGAAUUAUUGGGCGUAAAGAGCGUGUAGGCGGCCCGAUUAGUCCGCUGUGAAAGUCCAGGGCUCAACCCUGGAAUGCCGGUGGAUACUGUCGGGCUAGAGUCCGGAAGGGGCGAGUGGAAUUCCUGGUGUAGCGGUGAAAUGCGCAGAUAUCAGGAGGAACACCAAUGGCGAAGGCAGCUCGCUGGGACGUGACUGACGCUGAGACGCGAAAGCGUGGGGAGCAAACAGG
rnacentral:rRNA from 1 species